GCCAAUGUCGCAGUGGCAAGUCGGGUUCUUUAAGAUCUCUUGAGGACCUGUCGAUAUCUCUGCAGUCCGAGGGUCCAAAGUGACCUAAGUCAUCCUGAAGGAAUGAUAAACAAGGGGAGCAUGGACUGGUCAGCAUAGGGGGAUCGCAAACUCCCUGGCUGAACCAGAAGCUCCUCAAACCGAACUGCUGAGAAAGCGGCCUUAGAAGUUGCUAGGAAGCUGUGGUGGCAGUAAUGAAAGAAGAUGACAGGAAAGCAAAGUGAGACAUCGAGAGCACAAAGGCUUUUGAAAAAUAUCUAUGGUAACAAAUCCAUACCAUAGAUCCAUUUUUUAAAAUCAGGAAAAUUAGGGACUUCAUUCUUGCAAGCUGGAAAAAAAAAACGUUCCUGAAAAGUGCCACUAGGUGGCAGCCUCUCCCUGACUGAAGAAAUAGUAGCAUCAAUGUGUGUCAAAUCAAAGUGCAAGAAAAUACUGUAAUGAGCUUUUCAUUCCCUAUCUUUCCAACUCUCUAACUUGAACAUUGGCCUUAACUAUCAUAAAGUGUGACUACUUCAAGGAUGUAUUUUCACCACCAACAAGGAAUCCAUGAGAAAGAGAUGCAUCUGAUGUGGGGAUGUUUUGAAGCUAGAAGGAAAGUCAUAUUUUGCAAGCCUCCCGUCGAAUAUUAAAGCAUGCUGGUAUAAGGUUGAAGAUUUAAAAACAAA